rnacentral:ribozyme from 1 species
UCCCCAGCAACUCCUAUCCCUACCUCCACGCGGUACCGGCCGGAAACUAUGAGCAACCUUAGGGAAGAUCGGGUAACCAACCCCGGUGGGAACUUUGGUCGUAGGCUGACAGGGAAGG